rnacentral:rRNA from 1 species
GAUGAACGCUGGCGGCGUGCCUAAUACAUGCAAGUCGAGCGAACAGACGAGGAGCUUGCUCCUCUGACGUUAGCGGCGGACGGGUGAGUAACACGUGGAUAACCUACCUAUAAGACUGGGAUAACUUCGGGAAACCGUAGCUAAUACCGGAUAAUAUAUUGAACCGCAUGGUUCAAUAGUGAAAGACGGUUUUGCUGUCACUUAUAGAUGGAUCCGCGCCGCAUUAGCUAGUUGGUAAGGUAACGGCUUACCAAGGCAACGAUGCGUAGCCGACCUGAGAGGGUGAUCGGCCACCUGGGAACUGAGACUCGGCACCGACUCCUACGGGAGGCCGCAGUAGGGAAUCUUACGCAAUGGGCGAAAGCCUGACGGAGCGCAGCCGCGUGAGUGAUGAAGGUCUUCGGAUCGUAAAACUCUGUUAUUCGGGAAGAACAAAUGUGUAAGUAACUAUGCACGUCUUGACGGUACCGAAUCAGAAAGCCACGGCUAACUACGUG